AUACGUAGGGUGCAAGCGUUAAUCGGAAUUACUGGGCGUAAAGCGUGCGCAGGCGGUUUUGUAAGACAGAGGGGAAAUCCCCGGGCUCAACCUGGGGACUGCCUUUGUGACUGCAAGGCUAGAGGACGGCAGAGGGGGGUGGAAAUCCGCGUGUCGCAGUGAAAUGCGUAGAUAUGCGGAGGAACACCGAUGGCGAAGGCAAUCCCCUGGGCCUGUACUGACGCUCAUGCACGAAAGCGUGGGGAGCAAACAGGAUUAGAUACCCUGGUAGUCCACGCCCUAAACGAUGUCAACUGGUUGUUGGGUCUUCAUUGACUCAGUAACGAAGCUAACGCGUGAAGUUGACCGCCUGGGGAGUACGGCCGCAAGGUUGAAACUCAAAUGAAUUGACGGGG
rnacentral:rRNA from 1 species